UUUGAAUUUAAAUGUUAAAUACUUAGGUAGUAAUAGAUAUGAACUUGAAACCUAAAGAAUUUGGCGGUAUUUUAGUCUAUUUAGAGGAAUUUGUCCCGUGAUCGAUAGUCCUCGUUGAACCUAACUUAAUUGAAAUGUAUGUAUACCGCCGUUUAUGAAGAUUCUUUUAGGAUUUAUUUUCUUGAUAUAUUUGUAUAUAUAAUUUCAGGUCAAGGUGCAGCUUAUAAUUAAGUGGUGAUGAAUUACAAUGCUAUAAAGCAUAUGAAUUAGUAAUUGAAAUAUUAUUAUGAAGGUGGAUUUAAUAGUAAUGUUUUUUAGAUUAUAAAUAUGAUUUAAGCUCUAGAAUGUGC
rnacentral:rRNA from 1 species